UACAGAGGUCCCAAGCGUUGUUCGGAUUCAUUGGGCGUAAAGGGUGCGUAGGUGGCGUCGUAAGUCGGGUGUGAAAUUUCGGAGCUCAACUCCGAAACUGCAUUCGAUACUGCGGUGCUUGAGGACUGGAGAGGAGACUGGAAUUUACGGUGUAGCAGUGAAAUGCGUAGAGAUCGUAAGGAAGACCAGUGGCGAAGGCGACCAUCUGGACAGUUACUGACACUGAGGCGCGAAAGCGUGGGGAUCAAACAGG
rnacentral:rRNA from 1 species